UACGUAGGGUGCAAGCGUUGUCCGGAAUUAUUGGGCGUAAAGAGCUCGUAGGCGGUUUGUCGCGUCGGGUGUGAAAAUCCAGGGCUCAACCCUGGACCUGCAUUCGAUACGGGCAGACUAGAGUUCGGUAGGGGAGACUGGAAUUCCUGGUGUAGCGGUGAAAUGCGCAGAUAUCAGGAGGAACACCGGUGGCGAAGGCGGGUCUCUGGGCCGAAACUGACGCUGAGGAGCGAAAGCGUGGGGAGCAAACAGG
rnacentral:rRNA from 1 species